CGUGUGUGAAGAAGGCCUUCGGGUUGUAAAGCACUUUCAGUCGUGAGGAAGGUGGUGUAGUUAAUAGCUGCAUUGUUUGACGUUAGCGACAGAAGAAGCACCGGCUAACUCCGUGCCAGCAGCCGCGGUAAUACGGAGGGUGCGAGCGUUAAUCGGAAUUACUGGGCGUAAAGCGCAUGCAGGUGGUUUGUUAAGUCAGAUGUGAAAGCCCGGGGCUCAACCUCGGAAUAGCAUUUGAAACUGGCAGACUAGAGUACUGUAGAGGGGGGUAGAAUUUCAGGUGUAGCGGUGAAAUGCGUAGAGAUCUGAAGGAAUACCGGUGGCGAAGGCGGCCCCCUGGACAGAUACUGACACUCAGAUGCGAAAGCGUGGGGAGCAAACAGGAUUAGAUACCCUGGUAGUCCACGCCGUAAACGAUGUCUACUUGGAGGUUGUGGCCUUGAGCCGUGGCUUUCGGAGCUAACGCGUUAAGUAGACCGCCUGGGGAGUACGGUCGCAAGAUUAAAACUCAAAUGAAUUGACGGGGGCCCGCACAAGCGGUGGAGCAUGUGGUUUAAUUCGAUGCAACGCGAAGAAACCUUACCUACUCUUGACAUCCAGAGAACUUUCCAGAGAUGGAUUGAUGCCUUCGGGAACUCUGAGACAGGUGCUGCAUGGCUGUCGUCAGCUCGUGUUGUGAAAUGUUGGGUUAAGUCCCGCAACGAGCGCAACCCUUAUCCUUGUUUGCCAGCGAGUAAUGUCGGGAACUCCAGGAGACUGCCGGUUGAUAAACCGGAGGAAGGUGGGGACGACGUCAGUCAUCAUUGUCU
rnacentral:rRNA from 1 species